rnacentral:rRNA from 2 species
UGAGUAAUGUCUGGGAAACUGCCUGAUGGAGGGGGAUAACUACUGGAAACGGUAGCUAAUACCGCAUAACGUCGCAAGACCAAAGAGGGGGACCUUCGGGCCUCUUUGCCAUCGGAUGUGCCCAGAUGGGAUUAGCUAGUAGGUGGGGUAAAGGCUCACCUAGGCGACGAUCCCUAGCUGGUCUGAGAGGAUGACCAGCCACACUGGAACUGAGACACGGUCCAGACUCCUACGGGAGGCAGCAGUGGGGAAUAUUGCACAAUGGGCGCAAGCCUGAUGCAGCCAUGCCGCGUGUAUGAAGAAGGCCUUCGGGUUGUAAAGUACUUUCAGCGGGGAGGAAGGGAGUAAAGUUAAUACCUUUGCUCAUUGACGUUACCCGCAGAAGAAGCACCGGCUAACUCCGUGCCAGCAGCCGCGGUAAUACGGAGGGUGCAAGCGUUAAUCGGAAUUACUGGGCGUAAAGCGCACGCAGGCGGUUUGUUAAGUCAGAUGUGAAAUCCCCGGGCUCAACCUGGGAACUGCAUCUGAUACUGGCAAGCUUGAGUCUCGUAGAGGGGGGUAGAAUUCCAGGUGUAGCGGUGAAAUGCGUAGAGAUC